rnacentral:rRNA from 1 species
AUGGCUGUCGUCAGCUCGCGUCGUGAGAUGUUGGGUUAAGUCCCGUAACGAGCGCAACCCUUGUCCUUAGUUACCAGCACGUUAUGGUGGGCACUCUAAGGAGACUGCCGGUGACAAACCGGAGGAAGGUGGGGAUGACGUCAAGUCAUCAUGGCCCUUACGGCCUGGGCUACACACGUGCUACAAUGGUCGGUACAAAGGGUUGCCAAGCCGCGAGGUGGAGCUAAUCCCAUAAAACCGAUCGUAGUCCGGAUCGCAGUCUGCAACUCGACUGCGUGAAGUCGGAAUCGCUAGUAAUCGUGAAUCAGAAUGUCACAGUGAAUACGUUCCCGGGCCUU